rnacentral:rRNA from 1 species
GACGAACGCUGGCGGCGUGCUUAACACAUGCAAGUCGAACGGAAAGGCCCUGCUUUUGUGGGGUGCUCGAGUGGCGAACGGGUGAGUAACACGUGAGUAACCUGCCCUUGACUUUGGGAUAACUUCAGGAAACUGGGGCUAAUACCGGAUAGGAGCUCCUGCUGCAUGGUGGGGGUUGGAAAGUUUCGGCGGUUGGGGAUGGACUCGCGGCUUAUCAGCUUGUUGGUGGGGUAGUGGCUUACCAAGGCUUUGACGGGUAGCCUGCCUGAGAGGGUGACCGGCCACAUUGGGACUGAGAUACGGCCCAGAAUCCUACGGGAGGCAGCAGUGGGGAGUAUUGCACAAUGGGCGGAAGCCUGAUGCAGCAACGCCGCGUGCGGGAUGACGGCCUUCGGGUUGUAAACCGCUUUCGCCUGUGACGAAGCGUGAGUGACGGUAAUGGGUAAAGAAGCACCGGCUAACUACGUG